UUCCGGUUGAUCCUGGGGAGGCCACUGCUAUCGGGGUCCGACUAAGCCAUGCGAGUCAAGGGGCGCUUGCGCGCACCGGCAGACGGCUCAGUAACACGUCGGUAACCUACCCUCGGGAGGGGGACAACCCCGGGAAACUGGGGCUAAUCCCCCAUAGGUUUGGGGCGCUGGAAAGCCCCCAAACCGAAAGCUCCGGCGCCCGAGGAUGGGCCGGCGGCCGAUUAGGUAGUUGGUGGGGUAACGGCCCACCAAGCCGACAAUCGGUACGGGCAGUGAGAGCUGGAGCCCGGAGAUGGACACUGAGACACGGGUCCAGGCCCUACGGGGCGCAGCAGGCGCGAAACCUCCGCAAUGCGGGAAACCGCGACGGGGGGACCCCCAGUGCCGUGCCUCUGGCACGGCUUUUCCGGAGUGUAAAAAGCUCCGGGAAUAAGGGCUGGGCAAGGCCGGUGGCAGCCGCCGCGGUAAUACCGGCGGCCCGAGUGGUGGCCACUAUUAUUGGGCCUAAAGCGGCCGUAGCCGGGCCCGUAAGUCCCUGGCGAAAUCCCACGGCUCAACCGUGGGGCUUGCUGGGGAUACUGCGGGCCUUGGGACCGGGAGAGGCCGGGGGUACCCCUGGGGUAGGGGUGAAAUCCUAUAAUCCCAGGGGGACCGCCAGUGGCGAAGGCGCCCGGCUGGAACGGGUCCGACGGUGAGGGACGAAGGCCAGGGGAGCGAACCGGAUUAGAUACCCGGGUAGUCCUGGCUGUAAAGGAUGCGGGCUAGGUGUCGGGCGAGCUUCGAGCUCGCCCGGUGCCGGAGGGAAGCCGUUAAGCCCGCCGCCUGGGGAGUACGGCCGCAAGGCUGAAACUUAAAGGAAUUGGCGGGGGAGCACUACAAGGGGUGGAGCGUAAGGGUUAAUUGGAGCAACGCCGGAAAU
rnacentral:rRNA from 1 species